CUUUCUCUUGUUUGCUUGCUUUCCCCCCUCCUCUUCCACCUCCCUCCCUCUCUUUCUUCUUGCCUUUUCCUCCUCUCUUUUCUUCUCUUUUCUUUCUCUUUUUCCUCCUCUUCCCCUACACGUUGUUGUUGUUGUUAGAAAGGAUUCUUGCACCCCCUGGUGCUCUUGCGUUUUGUGUGGUAGGAGAGGAGAUUGUCUUCUUUCUCUCUCUCCCUCUGGUUGCUCAUUAUUCAGAGAGAGACACAGAGGGUGAGUGAGAGAGAGAGAGAGAGACGGAUAUCUCAGGUCAUCUGCAGCUGCAGCAAACCAGUGAAGGAGAGAGAGAGAGGGAGAGAGAGAGAGGGGGGGAAAAGCAGGGAAAGAUGGCGAUCCUCCAUUGCUGAGACCUGGCAAGGAGCACAUGAGACUCACAAAACAACUUCCACAACAAUAACAAGAAGAAGAGCUAGGCAGAGAGGAAGAGGAGAGGAGGCAGCAGCCAGAGCAGCAGUGCCGGGACGCUCCUGUGGUAUUCAUUGGUGCAGUUUGCAACCUCAAUACAGGUCUCAAUCAGAACCCACAAAAGAAAAUGAAAAACUCCCUACUGAACUUCGCUGAUUUUGGUCAGAUCCUAAGCGUCCAUCCCCUCCAUCAUGUAUAUAUCCUUCUUAGAUAACACCAGUGUUGUGCCUUUGACAGCUCUUUAAUCCCAGAGAGAAAAGCAAGGAUCUUCCUUUUUCUUUUGGACCCAUUCCACUGCAAACAAAAACAUUCUGCAGGUUAGACAAGAAGGGUAUCUGAAGAGAUUUAAAAAAAAA
rnacentral:lncRNA from 1 species